rnacentral:tRNA from 6 species
AUGCUAUGUAAAUGUUUGUUUACCGAGGGUUCGAAUCCCUCUCUUUC